rnacentral:lncRNA from 1 species
AAGAUGGCUGCGCCCAUGUAACAUCACUAGCGACCGGUGACCUCUUUUUCCCCCUUGCCUGGCUCCUGUGGUGGCAGGCUGGGCACGAGGACCAUGCUGGGCCGGAGCCUCCGAGAAGUGAGUGGAAUUGGCCCGCUGAGGCCCCCGGGAGGGCGGAAAGUUUAACGGACUUCGUUGACAAAGAGUCCCUGGGCCUUACCA